UUCUGUUAUGUUGAUAAAAACUCUUGCAUAUAGUCAUACUUUGCAUGAGUGCAUGUGAUGGAUAUUUUGUUGCUGAAUAUAUGCGAUGCAAAGGUGGGUGGGUACUACCUCAUGCCUCGUAUGACAUGUUGGUCUAAAAAAACCUUGGAGGAGUGUUUGUAAUGGUGAAUAUGAUACCAUGGGGCAGACAUCUCUGCGACGAGAGUGGUCAGUAAAAGGCGUGUCGGGGUGUGAUGCUCGUAACAGUCAGGUAUGUCA
rnacentral:lncRNA from 1 species